AUUGAACGCUGGCGGAAUGCUUUACACAUGCAAGUCGAACGGCAGCACGGACUUCGGUCUGGUGGCGAGUGGCGAACGGGUGAGUAAUGUAUCGGAACGUGCCCAGUCGUGGGGGAUAACGUAGUGAAAAUUACGCUAAUACCGCACACGAUCUAGGGAUGAAAGCGGGGGAUCGCAAGACCUCGCCCGAUUGGAGCGGCCGAUAUCAGAUUAGGUAGUUGGUGGGGUAAAGGCCCACCAAGCCAACGAUCUGUAGCUGGUCUGGGAGGACGACCAGCCACACUGGAACUGAGACACGGUCCAGACUCCUACGGGAGGCAGCAGUGGGGAAUUUUGGACAAUGGGCGAAAGCCUGAUCCAGCCAUUCCGCGUGCAGGAUGAAGGCCCUCGGGUUGUAAACUGCUUUUGUACAGAACGAAAAGGUUUCUACUAAUACUAGGAGCUCAUGACGGUACUGUAAGAGUAAGCACCGGCUAACUACGUGCCAGCAGCCGCCGUAA
rnacentral:rRNA from 1 species